rnacentral:rRNA from 1 species
UACGUAGGUGGCGAGCGUUGUCCGGAUUUAUUGGGUUUAAAGGGUGCGUAGGCGGCCCUAUAAGUCAGUGCUGAAAUACCCCGGCUUAACCGGGGGGGUGGCAUUGAUACUGUAGGGCUUGAGUGAAGUCGAGGUAGGCGGAAUUGACGGUGUAGCGGUGAAAUGCUUAGAUAUCGUCAAGAACACCGAUAGUGCAGACAGCUUACUAGGCUUUAACUGACGCUGAGGCACGAAAGUGUGGGGAUCAAACAGGAUUAGAAACCCCCGUAGUCC